rnacentral:rRNA from 1 species
GGAUGUUGGCUUAGAAGCAGCCAUCAUUUAAAGAAAGCGUAAUAGCUCACUGGUCAAGUUGUUUCGCGCCGAAAAUUUAUCGGGGCUAAGCUUAUUACCGAAGAUGCGGGUUGUCCAUGUAAAUGGACAGCGGUAGAGGAGCGUUCCAAUUCCGUUGAAGUCGCAACGUGAGUUGCGGUGGAGGAUUUGGAAGUGAAAAUGUUGGCAUAAGUAGCAAAAAGGCAAGUGAAAACCUUGCCCACCGAAAAUCUAAGGGUUCCUGGGCAACGAAACUCGACCCAGGGUUAGUCGAUCCUAAGGUGAGGCCAUUGUAGUGGUGGCGUAGCCGAUGGAAGAGCUGGUUAAUAUUCCAGCACUACUAUAAUUUUCCGAUGGGGGGACGCGUUGACAAAGUUUAAGCGUACUAUGGUUUGUGCGUUGUUGGCUUGGCCGUGCCGCCUAGGCAAAUCCGGGUGGCGUUAGCGGCUGAGUUGACUGCCGGCAAAGCUUUCGGGCGGCGCCAAUUUAAGCGGAGUCAGCGCCAAGAAAAUCCUCUAGGGCUAAGAUUAUAGUAAUCGUACUGCAAACCGACACAGGUAGAUGAGGCGAGGAGCCUAAGGUGUACGAGAGAACCUUCGUUAAGGAACUCGGCAAAUCAGCGGUCGUAAGUUCGCAAUAAGACCUCCCCGCGCGAGCGGGGCGCAGCUAAAGACAGCCAAGUGACUGUUUACCAAAAACACAGCUCUCUGCUAAAUCGUAAGAUGAUGUAUAGAGGGUGAUGCCUGGCCAGUGUCCGAACGUUAAGGGGAGAGGUUAGCCGUAAGGCGAAGCCUUGAACUGAAGCGCGGAUGAACGCCGGCCGUAACUAUAACGGUCCUAAGGUAGCGAAAUUCCUUGUCGGGUAAAUUCCGACCUGCACGAAUGGCAUAACAACUUGGUUACUGUCUCGACGAAGGACUCGGCGAAAUUGCAAGACGAGUAAAGAUGCUCGUUAAUCAUAGUUGGACGAAAAGACCCCAUGAAGCUUUACUAUAACUUGAUAUUGGUUUAGGGCUAUACAUGUUCAGGAUAGGUGGGAGCCUUCGGGCGCCGGUGAGAUACCACCCUUGUAUAGUUUUAAACCUAACCUUAGACCAUGAAUCUGGCCAAGGGACAGUGUCUGGUGGGUAGUUUGUCUGGGGCGGAUGCCUCCCAAAAGGUAACGGAGGCGUUUACCAAGGUUGGCUAUCCCGGGAUGGAAAUCCGGGAGAUAGUGUAAAGGCACAAGCCAGCUUUACUGCGAGACCUGCAAGUCAAGCAGUCGCGAAAGCGGAACUUAGUGAUCCGACCAUUCAAUAUAGGAUGGUGGAAGCUCAACGGAUAAAAGCUACUCUGGGGAUAACAGGCUAGUCACGCCCAAGCGUCCACAGCGACGGCGUGGUUCGGCACCUCGAUGUCGGCUCGUCGCAUCCUGGGGGUGGAGAAGCUCCCAAGGGUUGGGCUGUUCGCCCAUUAAAGCGGCACGCGAGCUGGGUUCAGACCGUCGUAAGACAGGUCGGUCUCCUAUCCACUAUGAUCGCGGAAACUUGAGAAGGCGCUUCCCUAGUACGAGAGGACCGGGAAGCACGAAGCUCUGGUGUACCAGCUGUCCUACCAAGGGCAUCGCUGGGUAGCUAUCUUCGGUUAGGAUAAGCGCUGAAAGCAUAUAAGUGCGAAGCCGUCUUCAAGAUUAGGUUUCAUAGACUCCCGGGAGACUACCGGGUUGAUAGGUUCUAGGUGUAAGCGCAGUAAUGCGUUGAGCCGAGGAAUACUAAUAAGUCAUUUGAUUUUC